UUUAUGGAGAGUUUGAUCCUGGCUCAGGAUGAACGCUGGCGGCGUGCCUAAUACAUGCAAGUCGAGCGAACGGACGAGAAGCUUGCUUCUCUGAUGUUAGCGGCGGACGGGUGAGUAACACGUGGAUAACCUACCUAUAAGACUGGGAUAACUUCGGGAAACCGGAGCUAAUACCGGAUAAUAUUUUGAACCGCAUGGUUCAAAAGUGAAAGACGGUCUUGCUGUCACUUAUAGAUGGAUCCGCGCUGCAUUAGCUAGUUGGUAAGGUAACGGCUUACCAAGGCAACGAUGCA
rnacentral:rRNA from 1 species